rnacentral:rRNA from 1 species
AACGAACGCUGGCGGCAGGCUUAACACAUGCAAGUCGAGCGCCCCGCAAGGGGAGCGGCAGACGGGUGAGUAACGCGUGGGAACGUACCCUUUGCUACGGAAUAGCUCCGGGAAACUGGAAUUAAUACCGUAUGUGCCCUACGGGGGAAAGAUUUAUCGGCAAAGGAUCGGCCCGCGUUGGAUUAGCUAGUUGGUGGGGUAAUGGCCUACCAAGGCGACGAUCCAUAGCUGGUCUGAGAGGAUGUUCAGCCACAUUGGGACUGAGACAAGGCCCAAAUUCAUACGGGAGGCAGCAGUGGGGAAUAUUGGACAAUGGGCACAAGCCUGGUCCAGCCAUGCCGCGUGGGUGGUGAGGGCCUUAGGGUUGUAAAGCUCUUUCACCGGAGAAGAUAAUGACGGUAUUCGGAGAAGAAGCCCCGGCUAACUUCGUGCCAGCCGCCGCAGUAAUAC